GUCAAAGAAGAAAGCAUGGAAGCGGUGCAGCUGCUGGCAUUGCGGCUGCGCGCAGUUCCGGUGGCGGCAUACCUCUUUCGAAACGCCGUCGUAAUGUGCGGCGGAUUUCGCAGCAGCAACAGCAACAGCACCACCAGCACGAGCAUUAGCGGAAUGGCAGGGAAGAGGAUGAGCUCUGGUUCGGGAUGGUUGAUGGGCGGAGCAUUGAAGUUACCGAAAAUUGUGAAAGCCGGAGAGCCGGUUCUGCACGAGCGAGCCAAAGAAGUUGAGCCGUCGGAGAUGAAAUCGGAGAGAGUGCAGAAGAUCAUCGACGACAUGAUCCGCGUCAUGCGAAAGGCACCUGGAGUUGGCCUCGCUGCUCCACAGAUUGGAAUUCCCCUAAGGAUAAUUGUUUUGGAAGAUAAAGUAGAGUAUAUGGGUUAUGACGAUGAGGAAGCCCUCAAAGAACAAGAUAGAAGACCUUUUCAUCUUUUGGUGAUAUUGAAUCCUAAGCUCAAGAAGAAGACCAACAGGACUGCACUCUUUUUUGAAGGAUGUUUGAGUGUUGCUGGGUACGCUGUGGUAGAGCGAUACCUUGAUGUUGAGGUUGAAGGUUUUGAUCGUUACGGGGAACCCGUAAAAAUAAAUGCUACUGGUUGGCAGGCUCGGAUUUUACAGCAUGAGUGUGAUCACUUGGAUGGAACACUGUAUCUUGAUAAGAUGGUACCUAGAACAUUCAGAGCUCCAGAAAACAGUUCUAAGCCUCUUGCCCGUGGGUGCCCAAAACUUGGUCCUCGCUGACCCAGUUGCGUGUUAGAGCUUGAAGUUGAAUCAGCUUCUUAUGAGCUCAUCAACACAAAUUUCUUGUGCAGACACAUUUUCCAUCAAUAUAUUCUGGAAGGUGAUCUUGGAGGCGAGACCGCUACCACCCUGACGAAAAUUUGACAGAAGACAAGUUUUGACGAAAAUGUGUACACUGCUGGGUGACUAUAAAAAAGAAAGUGCUACAGUUGUCAAGAAACUCACCUGCCAUGUUUUGAUCCUCAACCCAUUAUCUGUGUUGUAAAGGAAGCAAUACAUUUGUGGAGUUGAUCUUGCAAGAUCUGGCCCACCAUUCCUCUCCCAUUCCAUUGACACUCCCUCCACCAUCAACAGUGAGGUGAUUCACCCCAUGGAAGUAAAGCCAUUUGCGCUGAUCUAAACCAAGCCACACCGCAGGAUCUCGGGGUGCAACUAUAGUACCUGAUAUCUAUAACAAAUUUGAAAAUCAAUUGAGUGCAUAUUUUCUGUAAAGAACCUCAUGACAAGAAUUUUCUUCAACAUGUGAGAGAUUUGACUCUGAGCUUACCGUCAAAAUAAUCUUAGAUCGACAAGGUCCACCAAUGUCCACUGGAUAGAUAAGAAAAUUUUCCCCAGAUGGAAAAACAAGAUUUAUAAAUCCAGCGAGAGAACAUGCGAUUCCCCAAGCUUCCAGGAAGGCCUAAAAUGAUAAAUAAAUAGACAAAGUCAUGGGGACAUUCCUAAUCCUACCCAGCCCUUUCAGACAAAUUAUCAUACAUUUCAUGGGCUGUUUUGAAAUCUACGAUAACCUGGCUGCAAUACUUGAAUCUGAAUACUUCAGUUUUACGCAAAAGAAUCAUCUAAAUUACCCUCCUCCUUGAUUCACAAUCUGAAUAAACAUUAUUAAGCAAAUCGGUCAUUGUGAAGUUACAAAAAUAGAAGGAAGCAAUUACCUCAGUGUCAUUGUGAAGACCAUCCCCUUUUGCACCAUAAUCACCGACAUAAAGAACCCAUUUGGAUCUAGUUCGGGUUCUUCUCCACCUGGAACGAGGGUGCUGGAUCACAGAAUCAAAUCCUUCUGCACGAGUGAGAUAUGGAGUGACAAGUACAUUUACAUGAAUGAAGAUAAUGACAAAUGCCCAACUGAAACAAUAUCUGAGGUUCUUCAUUUUCUCUCAGAUUCCGACCAUCCACAGGUUUCGUGACAGAAUCUUAUGUUGCUGGUUCAGCAGGAACAACUACUGAAAGAGUAUCACGUGACAGAAACACCAUUUGAAGACACUGUACACUACUACUACAACGUCAGUGGCGAUGUUUCUAUUCAUCAAACCAUAACCAAACCUAAUUGCUCUUUACAUCUGCAUGCAAUUAAAUUUUUCUCAAAAAUAAAUGUCACAUUCAUGGCGCAAAAUUGAACUGUUUUAGCAUAGAAUUUAUCUCUUGUUAAUCUAAUACUUGCAAGACCCGAAAUUUCCUUCU